AUGGGAACUGUCUUGUCAGAACUGGGCCAGAGCGCUGCCCUUGCGUUGCUUCGCUGCAGGAGGAGGAAUGAACAGGUGCCUGUUGCUCUCCACCCACUCCAUCCCUCGUUGCCGUCACCUCCUCCCCGGCUCUUGUCAGAAGGACCCGAGGUGAAGGAUGUGGCUUCUCAGCAGACCGGGGAGCCUUUGUUCUGCACAGGCCACCUGACGGAGGUGCUGCUUGUACCUACCUGGCUUGCGUGGGGAGGGAAGGGCCUCUGCCCAGGCUGCCCCCGGGCGCCCCGCUCUGCCCGCCACAGUGCCCUCCGGGCGCAUCUGCCUUGGCUUGGCGAACACAACUCUGCAGGGCGGGCGGCGGGUGGGAGGGUCUCUCUGGGGCCCGGGACCCACUGGCUCCUUGCUGCUGGAAGCUGCUGGAAGCUGCUGGAAGCCGCCAGAGCUGGGUUUUGUCCCCGUCCUGAGCGUGGCAUCGUUCGGGUGAGGACUGUCCAGACGGGACCACACACGUCCCUGGGAGCGAGGGGAGCACGCGGGUCACCCUGGGCCGUAGGCAGAGCCUGAGGUCGUGGCGCUGGGGGCCGCCUCCGGGGCUUAGGGCCCUGAGGCUACUGGUCAGCAGCUGUGAAACCCCAGGGAGCUCACUGCCUCUCGCCAUGCCUCAGUUUACCCAGAUACAGGAUGGGCUGGAAGAGAAGCACCAGCCUUCGGGUUUUAGGGAGGACCCCACAGGGUGUUUGCAGUAAGAUUCAUGGGUCAGUGUGAGUUGGGUAUUUCAGGAUAUAAAAGCCUACAUUGGGGCGCCUGGGGGGCUCAGUGGGUGAGCGUCCGCCUCCGGCUCAGGGCGUGACCCUGGGGUCCUGGGAUCGAGUCCCACGUCCGGCUCCCUGCAUGCAGCCUGCUUCUCCCUCUUCCUGUGUCUCUGCCUGUGCAUGAAUAAAUCUCAUGAAUAAAUCAAUAAAAUCUUUUAAAUAAGUAAAUAAAUAAAAGCCUACUUUCCCUCCCAUGUGCACGCGCGCUCUCUCCCUCGUCCCCCACACGCUCUCAGACUCAGU
rnacentral:lncRNA from 1 species